rnacentral:rRNA from 1 species
UUGCGGUUAAAAAGCUCGUAGUUGGAUUUCUGUUGAGGAUGACCGGUCCGCUCUUUGAGCGCGUAUCUGGUUCAGCCUUGGCAUCCUCUUGGGGAACGCUACUGUGCUUGAUUGCAUGGGGCGGUAUUCAAGACCUUUACUUUGAGGAAAUUAGAGUGUUCACUGCAAGCGUUAGCAAUUGAAUACAUUAGCAUGGAAUAAUAAUAUAGGACCUUGGUACUAUUUUGUUGGUUUCUAGAACUAAGGUAAUGAUUAAUAGGGACAAUUGGGGGCAUUCGUAUUAACGCGUCAGAGGUGGAAUUCUUAGAUUGCGUUACGACGAACUACUGCGAAAGCAUUUGCCAAGGAUGUUUUCAUUGAUCAAGAACGAAAGUAUGGGGAUCGAAGACGCUUAGAUACCGUCGUAGUCUAUACCAUAAACUAUGCCAACUAGAGAUUGGAGGUCGUUCUCUUUAUGACUCCUUCAGCACCUUAUGAGAAAUCAAAGUCUUUGGGUUCCGGGGGGAGUAUGGUCGCAAGGCUGAAACUUAAAGGAAUUGACGGAAGGGCACCACCAGGAGUGGAGCCUGCGGCU